UAGUCUCAUCACGUUUAGUCACGUUGGUACUUUGUUCAGUGUUCUCCGAGGUGGUCUCUGUCUCUGUCUUUCUCUCAGUCUCAGACUGCAGCUGUAUUAAGAGAUGUUACCAGAGAAAAGGAAGAUCCAUCACCGCUGAGAGGCUGAGAUUGUGUUCUAGUGGUACAGUCACUCAACUUGAAUCAAGUUAUUAUUGAAGAGGCAGUAGAAACAGUACAGGAUAAUGGUAGUCUGAUAGCACAGGAGCUAUCUAAUCGUGCUGGUGUAUCCAUAAUGUUGGCAACUGAACGGUUACUGGUGACUGAAAAGGCUGGAGGAGUGUGCAGGGAUGAAUCAGUUACAGUUUUAUCGAAACCAUUUUCUAACUGAGUUACACUAAAUUUAGAUGCAUUUUUAAAGACAAAAAUAAUGUGGUAUUAUAUUGUGUAGGCAAUAAUUAUUGUGGAAUUAAUCAUUAACGUCAA